GCCUGCUAGGAGGAGCGUCUCCACCAGCAGCAGGCCAGCCCCUGAGGGAGACAGCAGAGAGCUGGAGUCCUGGCCAGCCAGGCGGGGAUCCUUCAGCCGGACACAGGAGACACAGCAGGCAACAGGAGCUCAGAACGAAACACACAGAUUAGAUCCAGCUGACACUUCAGCAACACGGCUGUAAACUGCAGAGUCCACUCAUGCGUGGAUUUCCCUCUGCCUCGGCCGCCCCUGGGACAGCAACACCAGCCCACAGCUUCCUCCUCUGCAGCCUCC